rnacentral:rRNA from 1 species
UACGUAGGGUCCGAGCGUUGUCCGGAAUUACUGGGCGUAAAGCGCGCGCAGGCGGCCCGCGAGGUGUCACGUGAAAGCCCCGGGCUCAACCCGGGAGGGUCGUGGCAAACCGGCGGGCUUGAGGCCGGUAGAGGUGGGUGGAACUCCUGGUGGAGUGGUGAAAUGCGUAGAGAUCAGGAAGAACACCCGUGGCGAAGGCGGCCCACUGGGCCGGUACUGACGCUGAGGAGCGAAAGCGUGGGGAGCAAACAGG